UGGGAAACCCUGGCACUUUCCCGAG
rnacentral:piRNA from 1 species